GACGAACGCUGGCGGCGUGCUUAACACAUGCAAGUCGAACGGUAAGGCCCUUCGGGGUACACGAGUGGCGAACGGGUGAGUAACACGUGGGUGAUCUGCCCUGCACUUCGGGAUAAGCCUGGGAAACUGGGUCUAAUACCGGAUAGGACCACUGCCUGCAUGGGUGGUGGUGGAAAGCUUUUGCGGUUCGGGAUGGGCCCGCGGCCUAUCCGCUUGUUGGGGGGGUGAUGGCCUACCAAGGCGACGACGGGUAGCCGGCCUGAGAGGGUGACCGGCCGCCCUGGGACUGAGACACGGCCCAGACUCCUACGGGAGGCAGCAGUGAGGAAUAGUGCACAAUGGGCGCAAGCCUGACGCAGCAACGCCGCGUGAGGGAUGACGGCCUUCGGGUUGUAAACCUCUUUCAGCACCGACGAAGCGCAAGUGACGGUAGGUGCAGAAGAAGGACCGGCCAACUACGUGCCAGCCGCCGCCGUAA
rnacentral:rRNA from 1 species